GGCGCGGGAAGGCUCUCAGGUGUGCCCUGAGGGAGCACCCUGAGGGCUCCCGCGGAAGAGCAAAGCCUGAGGUAAAACCGGCAGAGCUGGUCAUGGAGGGCACGUCCGAGUGGGGACACAGGGCUCGGCCCAUCGUGGGGACACUGGGAUGCGGGGCUGAAGGAAGACCAACCAAACAUGGAAAGAACUUGAAGGUCAGAGUGCUUGAAGCAACUCCACAAGGGUCUGUGUCUCUGCAGGACUCACUGUGGGAUCACUGUUUCUGCACAGUUUCUGCAUGCUUAUACUUACAGCCUUAGUAGUGCUUUGUAGAAUGGCCUUGUGAAGAAAGCAUCGAGAAGGUACUGGUGAAUGAGAGCAAGGCCAAGAAUACGACCACUGAACCUGAACCUGGGAUGUAAACAUACAGAGUAAAUGAAGCAUAACUCAAGAUACUCAGCACAGAAACUUACAGAGGUAGCUGCCUUGGCUCCCUGCACAUCAGCUGAACUGUGUCAGAAGUCACUACUGCAGAAUACAGAACUGAGCAAACCUGGCUCUGGGACUUCCACUGUGUGCAGUUAUCGUAGGCACGCCAGCCCCAGUGUCACGGGUUGUCUGUGCACCACAUACUCCAGUCAUAGGAAGCAGAAAAUUGAUUUCCGCUUAUGUCUUGAAACUAAUAAAGUAGAUGGUCUCCCUAUAACAUGAAAUCAUGCUAUGUGUCACUUUACCAAUAACAAGGUUCCAUGAACAUACUGUUUGGAGGAGAGGGGGGAGUGUGGCCCAGUGCUGGAUUUGCCAUCUCUGCUUGUAGAGCUAUCAAUAGCGUGAAUAAAAAUGUACAAUCUCUCCUUUGGGAGAACCAUGACAAAACAUGGCAUCACAAACAUGAUCUUCAUCAGAAACUGGGCUGCUUGUGGGAUUUAGAUUUAGCUUCUCUUGCUGGUACAAUGGAUAAAAAAGACUGUUCUAUAAGACUGUUGGCAAACCCUCCUCCAAUUCUGCCCAGUAACUACAGAGGAGAUGCAGACUGAAGUAUGAACUACUGGCUAGAAGACUACAAACCUCUACAUUUUGUGAUUCCCAGAUGCUAGACUGUA